rfam:Otolemur garnettii contig103666, whole genome shotgun sequence.
AGCUUUGCGCAGUGGCAGUAUCAUAGCCAAUGAGGUUUACCCAAGGCGCGAUUAUUGCUAAUAGGUUAUAAAAAUUAUAGUUUGUGAAAUUAUCAGAAACAGAAUAUAAAAAAACUAUGUUUGAUACUACACAAU